rnacentral:rRNA from 1 species
GAUACUAAGCCAUGCGAGUCAUUGUAGCAAUACAAGGCAUACGGCUCAGUAACGCGUAGUCAACCUAACCUAUGGACGGGAAUAACCUCGGGAAACUGAGAAUAAUGCCCGAUAGAACAUUAUACCUGGAAUGGUUUAUGUUCCAAAUGAUUUAUCGCCGUAGGAUGGGACUGCGGCCUAUCAGUUUGUUGGUGAGGUAAUGGCCCACCAAGACUAUUACAGGUACGGGCUCUGAGAGGAGUAGCCCGGAGAUGGGUACUGAGACACGGACCCAGGCCCUAUGGGGCGCAGCAGGCGAGAAAACUUUGCAAUGUGCGAAAGCACGACAAGGUUAAUCCGAGUGAUUUCUGCUAAAGAAAUCUUUUGUUAGUCCUAGAAACACUAACGAAUAAGGGGUGGGCAAGUUCUGGUGUCAGCCGCCGCGGUAAAACCAGCACCUCAAGUGGUCAGGAUGAUUAUUGGGCCUAAAGCAUCCGUAGCCGGCUCUGUAAGUUUUCGGUUAAAUCUGUACGCUCAACGUACAGGCCGCCGGGAAUACUGCAAAGCUAGGGAGUGGGAGAAGUAGACGGUACUCGGUAGGAAGUGGUAAAAUGCUUUGAUCUAUCGAUGACCACCUGUGGCGAAGGCGGUCUACUAGAACACGUCCGACGGUGAGGGAUGAAAGCUGGGGGAGCAAACCGGAUUAGAUACCCGGGUAGUCCCAGCUGUAAACUAUGCAAACUCAGUGAUGCAUUGGCUUGUG